UGCACACGAUGCAGUUUCAGUUACAGGCUUACAGCAGAUCCUGAGCUCGUCUGAGAGGAGAUGGGGAAGGAAUGUGCGUUGCCUUUGACUAGUGCUGAUAAAGCUUGUGAUAUCCAUGCACCUCAGUCUCGAAAUAUUGCUUGCUGCAGUGACGCGUCUCCUCCUCUUUAUGCAAUAUCAUCGUCAUGGAUGAAGUACAUGAAAAGAUUCAUCAAUGUUGAAGCUUUGUGUUGAAGAAGGUUGUUGCACAACUAAGGGAUUUUAAGCUGAUUGUCACAUCUGCAACUAUAAAUGCAAAUAUAAAUGCAAAUCUUUGGAGGCAUUUCAUGCAGGUCAUUUCCAGCAAAUAUCUUGUUCAGCAAAGCACCCCGUGAUGAUUAUGUGCAAGCGUAUGUGAAUCUUCAAUAUAUUGAAGAAGGUUUUUAUUGCUGAGAGAUAUUAACUUGGAUUUGUAAAGAUUAUCAACGGGAGUUAUAUGUACUUAAAAGUUUGGAAAGUACUUUUCAGAAUUGCUUAUCCACCAUCAGCGUGCUCCUGUUUUAUUUGUAUUCCAGGAAGUUGUCAGUUAGGGGCCAGUGUCCAAGCCUCAGUGUGUUGAAGGACAAUUCACCCUGGCAUGUGUUGUCAUUCUUGCUGGUCCAGGUGCCCAUGCUCUCGUUUUGUGUGUACAUUAAUAAUUUGUACAACGAGUAAGAAAUAAGUACUGCAAUAAUAAAAUAUUAUGCUAAGAAGUAGAAUUCAAUAUCCCAACCUGUUUAUGAUCAUUGUUGUUAACUGUAUUCGUCGUUAAAACCUCUUAAACUAUCUGCUUAUGACCUUUUGUUUAAUAGGAAAAAAAUUCUACCUUAGGCAUUCAAAAAAUUGAUAGUGCUCAAAGUACAAGAUGGCCAUGUAGAAGAUGUAUUCUUUGGUACUUGUUGUUUUCUUGCAUCUCACACUCCAUAGCAGUGAUCUUUCUUUUAUCUGUGUAGGUACCGCUGGCUCAAAAGUAAGUUUUCAGCAGGCUACCCAUUUCAUGAUGAUUUGAACAAGGCUCUACCAUGUUCAAUCU